rnacentral:rRNA from 1 species
CGGCAAUGGACGAAAGUCUGACCGAGCAACGCCGCGUGAGUGAAGAANGNUUUCGGAUCGUAAAGCUCUGUUGUUGNUAAAGAACGUUGAUGAGAGUGGAAAGUUCAUCAAGUGACGGUAAACAACCAGAAAGGGACGGCUAACUACGUGCCAGCAGCCGCGGUAAUAA